UGGGGAAUAUUGCGCAAUGGGCGAAAGCCUGACGCAGCAACGCCGCGUGAGUGAUGAAGGCCUUCGGGUUGUAAAGCUCUUUCGGCCGGGAAGAAGGGGCAUGGUAUUAAUACUUCCAUGUUUUGAUGGUACCGGAAGAAGAAGCACCGGCUAACUUCGUGCCAGCAGCCGCGGUAAUACGAAGGGUGCGAGCGUUGUUCGGAAUUAUUGGGCGUAAAGGGUUCGUAGGCUGGAAAUUAAGUCAAUUGUGAAAUCCCCGAGCUUAACUUGGGACGUGCAUUUGAAACUGGUUUUCUUGAGUAUCGGAGAGGGUGGUGGAAUUGCUGGUGUAGGAGUGACAUCCGUAGAGAUCAGCAGGAACACCGGAGGCGAAAGCGACUGCCUGGCCGAGAACUGACGCUGAGGAACGAAAGCGUGGGGAGCAAACAGG
rnacentral:rRNA from 1 species